rnacentral:misc_RNA from 1 species
CCGAUCCUGGCUCAGGAUGUGAGCAGCGGGGAUGCUUUACAUGCAAGGUCAGGCAGCGCUUUGGACUCGGUCUGGUGGCGAGUGGCGAACAGGUGAGUAAUGUAUCGGGAACGUACUAGUAGCGGGGGGAUAACUACGCGAAAGCGUAGCUAAUGGCACAUACGCCCUUCGAGGGAAAGCGGGGACCUUCGGGCCUCGCACUAUUAAGAGCGGCCGAUAUCGGAUUAUAUUCAGUUGGUGGGGUAACGGCGACUUCUUGGGCGACGAUCAGCGGCUUCGUUUGAAGGACGACCAGCCACACUGGGACUGCAGAGCCGGCUGAGC